AAAGUUUGCCUCAUUCACAGACCCUUUUAACCUGUCCAUCGAUGUCACAAAUAUUGAGGAUGAGGAUGAAGAUGAAAACGACUCGGACUAUGAACCUAGUUUCAGCUUUGAAGCUGUCUUACCAGAUGAUGUUAACCAAAACUAUGAGGAAGCAGCAUUUGAAGAAGAGGCAUUUGGAAAAGAUGGUUGUGAUGAUGAUGCUGAUGCAGAAGAAUAGUCUGCAGAUGAUGACCCUUGUCCUGGCAUUCAAAGGCUAAAGACUGAGGCAGACAGUGUGCACUUGAUAGGUUCCGCUGUCUGUUUUGCAUAUGUCUCGGCAAUCUUGUCUCUAGCCCGUAUUAAAGUGAUGUCCUGUUCAGUGACAGGAUGCACAGAUCCAACCAAUAUCUGUGUCACAGAUUAUUUUAUUGGAUCAGCGUUGUAUCUCAAAUGGGUAAGAUAAAAAUCAAUCAUGCAUUAAAGAAGGAUUACAGAUAUAAAAGGAAAAAAGUCAUUGCUAGCUACAUGUUGUAAAUUUAUUACAACCUUCAAAGCUAUAUGCAUCUGUACAGCAAAAAAAGUGAGUCCAUGUACCUAUUCAGAAAUCAGACUUGUUAUGCCCCCCCCCCUUCAAAUAAGAAGAGAUG